rnacentral:rRNA from 1 species
CAGUAGCCGCGGUAAUACGUAGGGUGCAAGCGUUGUCCGGAAUUAUUGGGCGUAAAGAGCUCGUAGGCGGUCUGUCGCGUCGGCUGUGAAAUCCCGAGGCUCAACCUCGGGCCUGCAGUCGAUACGGGCAGACUAGAGUGCAGUAGGGGAGACUGGAAUUCCUGGUGUAGCGGUGAGAUGCGCAGAUAUCAGGAGGAACACCGGUGGCGAAGGCGGGUCUCUGGGCUGUAACUGACGCUGAGGAGCGAAAGCGUGGGGAGCGAACAGGAUUAGAUACCCCAGUAGUCCCUGUCUCUUAUAC